GAAAACUAUGUAAAUUAUUAGAAGUUAUUUCCAAAAAGUUCACAGUUCCUACAAUUCUGUAUACUCCUAAACAUCAUGACCCCAAUCUGCACAUUCAAAAUUUUGGUCAGAAAGGAUCAAUAAUCUAACAUGAACAAAUCUCAGGCUACUUUCUCCAGAGAUAACUAUCAUGAAUGCCUUUAAGUUAAAGCUCUAAACUAUUAGCCCUCAGGAUCCGUUAAGUAUACAGGGCUAUCAAGUUCACCCAUACUUGCAGAAACAAAAGAUUCGAAGGAUUCUACUGUUGAGAGGGAAGAAGCAGUGUCGUCAGAAUCUGAGACAAUCUCGCCAUGCAGAACAAUAUGGUCCUCGUCGAUCUCAGAUCCCUCUGACCCAGAUGUUCCUAAAAGAAGUUUGUUGAUGGCUGAUUUCGCAGUUUCAACAAACCAUUCAUCCUCAGGCAGUGCACUUUGUGGGUCUAUGCCUCUAGCUGAAAAGGUCCGGAUUGCUCUAGCAAUUAUGGCUGAAGCAAUCUGGUGAACGUGUCUAGAUGGAUAACCCGCAAAACGCGCAAUUUCUACAGUGAAGUGCAUAUCAAGAAUUAACUGCUGCAACCCAAGUGGCUUAAGUGGAAUUGUUUCAUCCUCAAACACUCCCCAGAAUUCUUGUUCAUCAGACAACCACAUUACAACAGUUUCAGUUAAUCUAGCAAGCAGAAUUUUCUGUAUUUUCUCUUUCCCAAGCAACACAUCCCCCGCAACAGUUGCUAAUUGCUGAAGUUUUGCAAAUAAUGACUGAAAUGGCAAUGAAGGCAGAGGCUCAUCCCACAAUAAAUCUUCCCGAUCCCCAUUUAAAUAAAUUUGUGCAUUUAAUCGUGUUUUUCCUUCUCUUGAAUAAAUGAAACUCAAAACGUAUUGCCGACAGAAGUGAUCUCUAAGCUUGUCAAAUGAAUGCUGAAGAUGACGCUUCCAAUCCUUCAAUUCUGCUGUAACACCUGUACUAGGAACAACAUUUUCACUUGCUAGUUCAUUGUUUUGAUUCUUCAGAUUCCAAACUUUUGUUACAGCAAAUGGUAAUAAUUCAUCCAGAAUAGUAAAUGCCAUCCCUAAAAGGGCAAGCUGUUCAGAAUCUGUUUCAACUCUAAAGUGCAUGACUUCCUUCAGCUCUGUAAGAUUGUCAUCAUCAGAAGGGCCUGGGAGAGAUUUAAUCAAUGCUUCCAUGUACUUAUCAAACAGCUGUGAGAUUCUAGUUAAUACAUUUCCUCCAAAAUGCAAAAUGGCUGAGGGAGUUAGCUGCGCCAAUAUAUCUUCAAUAACGUCCAUAAAUCUCAUUCCACUAUCAACAAGAACAUUAUCUGUCGUUGUUGCAAACACAGAUAACGGAGAACCUGAAUGCAGGGACAACAGCAAGCUGUCGUCGGUUUCUGACAUGUCAAGAAUUACCCUUCUGGCUCUCCGAAAGUUCAACUCUAACACUUCUUCAAUAUAUGGCCGUAUGAGUACCAAAAGCAACUUUGACAGUUUCAGACCCUGUGAUUCCAACAUUAAGCAGUAGUUAAGACUAGCCUGAAUACAAUUGCUAGCUGCACCUAAUGCAGAAACUGUCUCCGAAGGAGGUGCAUUCUCCUUCACCAACCGUACAAAAUAUUCAAUCUCCCACUCUGCCCAUUGAACAACUCUAUUGGUAUACAAAGGAUCAUCCCCAAAUAUGGAACCAGAUUUUUUUGUUGUCAAUGAAAUUUUUGAAAACACAAGCCUAGAGAGUGUCACUGGAAAUGUUUUUGGACACACAGAACAUGAAGGAAGCAAAACCUCAAUACUCUUUUCUAGGCGGGACCCAUAUGAUUUUAGAAGUAGCUGAUGUGCCAAAGGGCCCUUCCCAAACUUGAUUAAACCAGAUAAGGCUUUCUCUAUUUCCAAAAUACCAACUGAAGGCCGUUCAGUGAUCUCAAUUAGCUGAUCCUCAAGAAUUGAUUUUCUCUUCACAAAGGCCAAUUUGUAUGAGGAUGCUUCAGUUGAUGUAGCAUCUCCUGAGCCCUUCAGCUCUGGAUUGUUUCUCUCUUCAGCAUCCAAAGCUUCUAUUGCAUCUUCUACUUUAUGCUCUGACAAGAGGAUAUCAAUAUUCUCCAAGAAUAUUGCCUUGGGAUCAUCUGAACCACUAGGCAAAGGAGUUUGAAGUUCAUUGAUUUCAGAAGCUUGCAGAGAACCAUCAACUUCCUCAUUAGCAAGGUUCCAUUCCUCCAGGUCGUGACAAACCCCAGUCAUCAAAUCCUGCACAAGAAUCCCUUGUGUGGAUAUAUGCUUUUGUAGCUCAACUAGCUCAUGCUCCAUUUCAACUACUUCUUCAGACAUUCUCAAGAAAGCCAAAUAUUUUGAUUGCAUGUUGCCACAUAGAUUUUCCACUGCAUCCUUCAAAUCCAAUAGCUCACAACAAAGUUUUCUAAUUCCCUUUUCAGUGUGUGAUUGAUAGAGGGAAUCGAUCUUGGACUGAGGUGUAAUGCUUUCUAUUGACGGGAAGUCAUCAUCUUCUUCGCUGCUCUCCAUUUCUCACUCUUUUGUCAAUAGUAUUUACAAGUUUUCUCUUGAAGUUUUCAAUCGCUUAAAUUUUGGUAUAAAGAAUAUACUCUGUAUAGAGAGAGACAGAAAGAUUUCAAAUUGCAGACAGAGAGGAGACUGAUGUGGGUGAGCAUGGAGGAAGCAAACAUAAGAAGCAUGCGAAAUGUAGCUUUACCACUUCGAAACUUGUGUACUUCGGUUACUAUUGCUGCACCUAGGAAUGGCCCCGGUACGGUAUGGAUCUGGAAUCGCACAGGAGCUAGAGAGGGUAGGGUUCCGUGACCUGGAUCUGAUCAAAAUUACCAGUCUGAUUUGGCCUGAAUUUUACUUUUUCU
rnacentral:misc_RNA from 1 species